rnacentral:rRNA from 1 species
ACCUCUGCAAUAGGCGAAAGCCUGACAGGGUUACUCUGAGUGGUUCCCGCUAAGGGGAUCUUUUGGCACCUCUAAAAAUGGUGCAGAAUAAGGGGUGGGCAAGCCUGGUGUCAGCCGCCGCGGUAAUACCAGCACCCCGAGUGGUCGGGACGAUUAUUGGGCCUAAAGCAUCCGUAGCCGGUCAUGCAAGUCUUCCGUUAAAUCCAGCCGCUCAACGGUUGGGCUGCGGAGGAUACUACGUGGCUAGGAGGCGGGAGAGGCAAGCGGUACUCAGUGGGUAGGGGUAAAAUCCUUUGAUCCAUUGAAGACCACCAGUGGCGAAGGCGGCUUGCCAGAACGCGCUCGACGGUGAGGGAUGAAAGCUGGGGGAGCAAACCGGAUUAGAUACCCGGGUAGUCCCAGCUGUAAACGAUGCAGACUCGGUGAUGGGAUGGCCUCGAGCUAUCCCAGUGCCGCAGGGAAGCCGUUAAGUCUGCCGCCUGGGGAGUACGGUCGCAAGACUGAAACUUAA